rnacentral:rRNA from 1 species
UUAAGCGACUAAGCGUACACGGUGGAUGCCCUGGCAGUCAGAGGCGAUGAAGGACGUGCUAAUCUGCGAAAAGCGCCGGCGAGGUGAUAUGAACCCUUGACCCGGCGAUGUCCGAAUGGGGAAACCCAGUGUGUUCCGACACACUAUCGUUAACUGAAUACAUAGGUUAACGAGGCGAACCGGGGGAACUGAAACAUCUAAGUACCCCGAGGAAAAGAAAUCAACCGAGAUUCCCCCAGUAGCGGCGAGCGAACGGGGAGCAGCCCGGAGUCUGAAUCAGCUUGUGUGUUAGUGGAACGGUCUGGAAAGUCCGACGGUACAGGGUGAUAGUCCCGUACACGAAAAUGCACAUGCUGUGAACUCGAAGAGUAGGGCGGGACACGUGGUAUCCUGUCUGAAUAUGGGGGGACCAUCCUCCAAGGCUAAAUACUCCUGACUGACCGAUAGUGAACCAGUACCGUGAGGGAAAGGCGAAAAGAACCCCGGCGAGGGGAGUGAAAAAGAACCUGAAACCGUGUACGUACAAGCAGUGGGAGCCUCUUUAUGGGGUGACUGCGUACCUUUUGUAUAAUGGGUCAGCGACUUAUAUUCUGUAGCAAGGUUAACCGUAUAGGGGAGCCGAAGGGAAACCGAGUCUUAACUGGGCGUUAAGUUGCAGGGUAUAGACCCGAAACCCGGUGAUCUAGCCAUGGGCAGGUUGAAGGUUGGGUAACACUAACUGGAGGACCGAACCGACUAAUGUUGAAAAAUUAGCGGAUGACCUGUGGCUGGGGGUGAAAGGCCAAUCAAACCGGGAGAUAGCUGGUUCUCCCCGAAAGCUAUUUAGGUAGCGCCUCGUGAACUCAUCUUCGGGGGUAGAGCACUGUUUCGGCUAGGGGGCCAUCCCGGCUUACCAACCCGAUGCAAACUACGAAUACCGAAGAAUGUUAUCACGGGAGACACACGGCGGGUGCUAACGUCCGUCGUGAAGAGGGAAACAACCCAGACCGCCAGCUAAGGUCCCAAAGUCAUGGUUAAGUGGGAAACGAUGUGGGAAGGCACAGACAGCCAGGAUGUUGGCUUAGAAGCAGCCAUCAUUUAAAGAAAGCGUAAUAGCUCACUGGUCGAGUCGGCCUGCGCGGAAGAUGUAACGGGGCUAAACCAUGCACCGAAGCUGCGGCAGCGACACUAUGUGUUGUUGGGUAGGGGAGCGUUCUGUAAGCCGUUGAAGGUGUGCUGUGAGGCAUGCUGGAGGUAUCAGAAGUGCGAAUGCUGACAUAAGUAACGAUAAAGCGGGUGAAAAGCCCGCUCGCCGGAAGACCAAGGGUUCCUGUCCAACGUUAAUCGGGGCAGGGUGAGUCGACCCCUAAGGCGAGGCCGAAAGGCGUAGUCGAUGGGAAACAGGUUAAUAUUCCUGUACUUGGUGUUACUGCGAAGGGGGGACGGAGAAGGCUAUGUCAGCCGGGCGACGGUUGUCCCGGUUUAAGCAUGUAGGCGGAGGUUCCAGGUAAAUCCGGUACCUUUUAACGCUGAGGUGUGAUGACGAGGCACUACGGUGCUGAAGUGAUAAAUGCCCUGCUUCCAGGAAAAGCCUCUAAGCAUCAGGUAACACGAAAUCGUACCCCAAACCGACACAGGUGGUCAGGUAGAGAAUACCAAGGCGCUUGAGAGAACUCGGGUGAAGGAACUAGGCAAAAUGGUGCCGUAACUUCGGGAGAAGGCACGCUGAUAGGUAGGUGAAGCCCCUGCGGGCGGAGCUGAAAUCAGUCGAAGAUACCAGCUGGCUGCAACUGUUUAUUAAAAACACAGCACUGUGCAAACACGAAAGUGGACGUAUACGGUGUGACGCCUGCCCGGUGCCGGAAGGUUAAUUGAUGGGGUUAGCGGCAACGCGAAGCUCUUGAUCGAAGCCCCGGUAAACGGCGGCCGUAACUAUAACGGUCCUAAGGUAGCGAAAUUCCUUGUCGGGUAAGUUCCGACCUGCACGAAUGGCGUAAUGAUGGCCAGGCUGUCUCCACCCGAGACUCAGUGAAAUUGAACUCGCUGUGAAGAUGCAGUGUACCCGCGGCAAGACGGAAAGACCCCGUGAACCUUUACUAUAGCUUGACACUGAACACUGGUCCUUGAUGUGUAGGAUAGGUGGGAGGCUUUGAAGCGUGGACGCCAGUCUGCGUGGAGCCGCCCUUGAAAUACCACCCUUUAAUGGCUGGUGUUCUAACGUAGACCCGUGAUCCGGGUUGCGGACAGUGUCUGGUGGGUAGUUUGACUGGGGCGGUCUCCUCCCAAAGAGUAACGGAGGAGCACGAAGGUUGGCUAAUCCUGGUCGGACAUCAGGAGGUUAGUGCAAUGGCAUAAGCCAGCUUGACUGCGAGCGUGACGGCGCGAGCAGGUGCGAAAGCAGGUCAUAGUGAUCCGGUGGUUCUGAAUGGAAGGGCCAUCGCUCAACGGAUAAAAGGUACUCCGGGGAUAACAGGCUGAUACCGCCCAAGAGUUCAUAUCGACGGCGGUGUUUGGCACCUCGAUGUCGGCUCAUCACAUCCUGGGGCUGAAGUAGGUCCCAAGGGUAUGGCUGUUCGCCAUUUAAAGUGGUACGCGAGCUGGGUUUAGAACGUCGUGAGACAGUUCGGUCCCUAUCUGCCGUGGGCGCUGGAGAAUUGAGGGGGGCUGCUCCUAGUACGAGAGGACCGGAGUGGACGCAUCACUGGUGUUCGGGUUGUCAUGCCAAUGGCACUGCCCGGUAGCUAAAUGCGGAAAAGAUAAGUGCUGAAAGCAUCUAAGCACGAAACUUGCCCCGAGAUGAGUUCUCCCUGAGACUUUAAGUCUCCUGAAGGAACGUUGAAGACGACGACGUUGAUAGGUCGGGUGUGUAAGCGCAGCGAUGCGUUGAGCUAACCGAUACUAAUGAACCGUGAGGCUUAACCUU